AUAUUAUAUUAUAUUAUAUUAUUAUUAUAUAUAUGACAAAGAAAGAAAGAAAAGAAACAGAGAGCAAAACAAAACAGAGAAGGGAGAAAGAAAGAAACAGAGAGCAAAACGAAACAGAGAAGGAAGGAAGGAAAGAAAGAAAGAAAAGAAAAGAAAAAGGGAAAUUUGGGGUUUUAAGGUUCAAAGUAAUUUGAUCAAGAAGUACGAAACUCGAGGUUAGACAAAGGGAAGAAUAAAGUUGAAGACUAAGUUGGUGAAUUUGGCUAUAAUUUGUACCGAGGUAAGUUUACGGUAAAUAAAUGCAAUAUUUCAAUAUUUAUUAUUAAUGCUGUUAAUUUCCAGCAAUUAUGAAUUUAUUUGAUGAUGAUCCAAGCAUGAAAUGAUAGAGAAUAAAAAUUUAAAAGUCCCGUUGAUACAUAAGGAUGGUACUGGAUACGAAUGUCAUGACAUUUGGGUAAAGAGAUCCCAUGUAAGACCAUGUCUGGGACAUGGCAUUGGCAUCCUUAAGAUCAUGAGAGGUCCCCUGUAAGACCAUGUCUGGGACAUGGCAUGGGCACCGAGACGAGAGGUCCCAUGUAAGACCAUGUCUGGGACAUGGCGUUGGCACCGAGAUGAGAGGUCCCCUAUAAGACCAUGUCUGGGACAUGGCAUGGGCACCAUCACGAGAACAUCCCAUGUAAGACCAUGUCUGGGACAUGGCUUUGGCAUGUUAUUAUCAGAAGAGACCCGAGUAUCCUUAUUAUUCCAAUGUAGUUCAACGGGCUUGUAAACGAAUCAUGUUCAUGAAAGUUCAGUUUAAAGCAUAAAUGGCAAGCUCAGGUAAGUUGUAAGACUUAAGAACUUAUUAUACUAUCAAUUGAUGUUCAACGAUGCAGCAAGGAUUGAGUAAGUUAUGCACACAAAUAUUCUAAGUAAACAAGUAAGAGAACUAGUAUGAGAUUAACUAAAGAGUAAACUAGAGAUAUAGACAUUGAGUUUAAUUAUUUAAGUUAAAUAUUGUUAUUUAUUUGCUAGUAAACUUACUAAGCUUUAUGCUUACUUCUUUUAUUUCUCUUUCUCUUAUAGUAUUGCAAAGCUACUUCAAGGAUCCUAAAGAAGUCGGAGAUCGUCCACACUAUCAACUACAACUGCUCGGUAUUUUAUAUCGAAACACGUUUAAGUUAUGGCAUGUAUAGGGAUUUAGUUAUUUUGUAUGUUUGUAGUGAUGAUUUUGCUAAUGAGUGAUGUGUAAGUAUUUGAUGAUGUAUGAUUAUUAAAAUGAUUAAGGAUGAAGGUGUUUGUUGUUAUGAAAGAUUAGGUGAUAAAUUAUGCAUGGAAAUCAUGAAAGGAUAAAAUUUUGCAAAGAAACAGAAUUCAGGCAGCACAGUGACGUGAAUUUGAAAAAUCACCCAAGAUAGUAUAAAAUGAAUUAGAGGGUGAAUGAUAUAUGGAAUUAAAGCUUGUUGAGUCUAUUUUCAUGGAAAAAAACGGUGUAGAAAAAAAGAAAUUUAUAUUUUAAGAUAUGUGAAUUUUAGUAAGAUAGGGUCAGAACUGUUUUUUUGGAGUCCCCUGUUCUGAGUUUAGAAAAUAAUUACAAAUUGUACAAAAAUGUUUAUGAGUUGAAAUUUACAUGCUUAGAUUCCUUGAUGAGUCUAUUUUCUAUAGAAACAAGUAAUAACUUCAUAUGAAAAUCCUAUAGUGAGAAAACUUAUUUUUAGUGACUAGAGGUCAGGGCAGUCUGGUGGUGACACAGGGGAGACUUUAACUAAUAAACUGUACUAAUUUGCUAAACCAAAAAUUCUAAAAAUUUUAUGGUGAGUAGAUAUAUGAGUCUAGUUUCAGGGAAAAUUUACGGGAUUAAAUUUCGAGUUCUGUAGCUCAAGUUAUAAUUAAUUUAGUAACUGCUGCGCGAUUAGACAGAUUUGCUGCGAAUAAUGAAAUAAAUUUUCAAACCUAGUUUUUAUGCUCCGAAUUGGUAAGAUAAGAUAAGUAAUUGUAACAGCCCAAUUUUCAGUAGUGUCAGAACAGUGAUUUGAGAUCACUAAAUUCGAUGAAGAAGUUAGAAAUAUUUUUGAAUUAGUGAAUUUUGUGAUUUAAAAGAAAUUAUUAGGUAAAUUGGGUCGAAAACGAGGUAUCGAGACCUCGAUAUUAUAAACUGAGCCGUAAAUAUUUUUAUAAAUAUUUACGGAGUGUCAAUAGGAUAAUAUUAAAGUUUCGUUAAGAAAUUUUAAUGUUUCGAUAGUUAAUUAUGAAAAAGGAUUAAAUUGCAAUAGGGAUAAAAGUUUAAUUAUAGAUUAAAGAAAAGUUAAAAGGACCAAAUAGGCAAUUAUGCCUUUUUCUAAAGUUGAGGCGGCAUAAUGAAAGAAAUAUCUGAGAUAUUCUAGUUAAUAUAUAUUAUAUAUAUGUAAGUAAUGAUUAUUAUUAAUAUUUUAUAUUAUAUUAUAUUAUAUAUAUAUAACAAAAGAAAGAAUAGAAAUGAGAAAGAAAGAAACAGAGAGCAAAACGAAACAGAGAAGGGAGAAAGAAGAAAAAGAAAGAGCGACGGUUCAGGGGUUUCAAAACUUCUAAAUUCAAUUGGUAAGUCAAUUUAGUCCAUUUUUCUUAUGGUUUUGAUAUUUUUGGAAUCCUAGAGCAAGAUACUACUUGAUUUAAGUGGAAAUUUUGGAAGUUAGUAGGUUAUUAGAUGUUGUUCAUGUUGAAUUAAUUGAUGAAUUAGAUGUUAAAAUGAUUGAAUUUUAAGUUAAAAGUUAGUAAAAGGUUGAUUUGUAAAAUAAAACAUAAGUUUUGAAUUGAUAGGAAUUAAAUUGAAAGAAUCCCGAAAUUAGGGAUUUAUGGGGAAAUUGAAGAAUUAAACUGAGUUUAUAGUAAGAAUUAAGAGAGAAUAGAGUUAGAAUGCAAAAAUAAAAUUAGUAUUGAUAAGGGAUUAAAUUAGAAUUUGAUGUUGCCAUAGAAGGGAAAAAUGUUCAGAAUGUUAUAAAACAUAAGAAUAAGAGAUGAAGUUUAAUUUCCGAGCCUUGGGGCAAAAAUAUAAUUAUGUAAAAGUUUAGGGGCAAAAUUGUAAUUUUGAAAAAGUUAGAGUCGAGGGCUAUUUUGAUGAAUGUGAUUAUUAAAUAAGUUAAAUUUACUAUUUUAGAUCAAGAAGUACGAAACUCGAGGUUAGACAAAGGGAAGAAUAAAGUUGAAGACUAAGUUGGUGAAUUUGGCUAUAAUUGGUACCGAGGUAAGUUUACGGUAAAUAAAUGCAAUAUUUCAAUAUUUAUUAUUAAUGCUGUUAAUUUCCAGCAAUUAUGAAUUUAUUUGAUGAUGAUCCAAGCAUGAAAUGAUAGAGAAUUAAAAUUUAAAAGUCCCGUUGAUACAUAAGGAUGGUACUGGAUACGAAUGUCAUGACAUUUGGGUAAAGAGAUCCCAUGUAAGACCAUGUCUAGGACAUGGCAUUGGCAUCCUUAAGAUCAUGAGAGGUCCCCUGUAAGACCAUUCUGGGACAUGGCAUGGGCACCGAGACGAGAGGUCCCAUGUAAGACUAUGUCUGGGACAUGGCGUUGGCACCGAGAUGAGAGGUCCCCUAUAAGACCAUGUCUGGGACAUGGCAUGGGCACGAUCACGAGAACAUCCCAUGUAAGACCAUGUCUGGGACAUGGCUUUGGCAUGUUAUUAUCAGAAGAGACCCGAGUAUCCUUAUUAUUCCAAUGUAGUUCAACGGGCUUGUAAACGAAUCAUGUUCAUGAAAGUUCAGUUUAAAGCAUAAAUGGCAAGCUCAGGUAAGUUGUAAGACUUAAGAACUUAUUAUACUAUCAAUUGAUGUUCAACGAUGCAGCAAGGAUUGAGUAAGUUAUGCACACAAAUAUUCUAAGUAAACAAGUAAGAGAACUAGUAUGAGAUUAACUAAAGAGUAAACUAGAGAUAUAGACAUUGAGUUUAAUUAUUUAAGUUAAAUAUUGUUAUUUAUUUGCUAGUAAACUUACUAAGCUUUAUGCUUACUUCUUUUAUUUCUCUUUCUCUUAUAGUAUUGCAAAGCUACUUCAAGGAUCCUAAAGAAGUCGGAGAUCGUCCACACUAUCAACUACAAAUGCUCGGUAUUUUAUAUCGAAACACGUUUAAGUUAUGGCAUGUAUAGGGAUUUAGUUAUUUUGUAUGUUUGUAGUGAUGAUUUUGCUAAUGAGUGAUGUGUAAGUAUUUGAUGAUGUAUGAUUAUUAAAAUGAUUAAGGAUGAAGGUGUUUGUUGUUAUGAAAGAUUAGGUGAUAAAUUAUGCAUGGAAAUCAUGAAAGGAUAAAAUUUUGCAAAGAAACAGAAUUCAGGCAGCACAGUGACGUGAAUUUAAAAAAUCACCCAAGAUAGUAUAAAAUGAAUUAGAGGGUGAAUGAUAUAUGGAAUUAAAUCUUGUUGAGUCUAUUUUCAUGGAAAAAUAACGGUGUAGAAAAAAGAAAUUUAUAUUUUAAGAUAUGUGAAUUUUAGUAAGAUAGGGUCAGAACUGUUUUUUUGGAGUCCCCUGUUCUGAGUUUAGAAAAUAAUUACAAAUUGUACAAAAAUGGUUAUGAGUUUAAAUUUACAUGCUUAGAUUCCUUAAUGAGUCUAUUUUCUAUAGAAACAAGUAAGAACUUCAUAUGAAAAUCCUAUAGUGAGAAAACUUAUUUUUAGUGACUAAAGGUCAGGGCAGUCUGGUGGUGACACAGGGGAUACUUUAACUAAUAAACUGUACUAAUUUGCUGAACCAAAAAUUCUAAAAAUUUUAUGGUGAGUAGAUAUAUGAGUCUAGUUUCAGGGAAAAUUUACGGGAUUAAAUUUCGAGUUCUGUAGCUCAAGUUAUAAUUAAUUUAGUAACUGCUGCGCGAUUAGACAGAUUUGCUGCGAAUAAUGAAAUAAAUUUUCAAACCUAGUUUUUAUGCUCUGAAUUGGUAAGAUAAGCUAAGUAAUGCCUCGUGCUCGACUCCGGAAACGGUCUCGGGUAAGGGGUGUUACAUUUUAUUGGUAUCAGAGCAGGUUUAGUCUGUUCUCGGAAAUACUCAGUAAGAAUAAGAGUCUACCUAUACAUGCCAUACUUAUAUAUUUGAUAGUGUGACGACUCCUGGCGAUUUUAAAAUGUUUUCUUUUAUAGUUAUGGAUCCUGAACGAGCUAGUACAGAUGAAGUAGAGAGUAAUGCACCUAUUCCCGCAGAAGGGACGGUGCCAUCAGAUGUUAUAUCAGUCCCAUAUUUCCUAAGUGUUCUGUUUCGUCUACUGGGCUUCUGCUAAAAAAAAAAUGUUACAAGAUAAAAGAUUAUCUUUGAUUCAAUGAUGAAUGAUUAUAAAGGAAAAAUAAGUUACAAAGCUGUGAAUAAAGAAGUAUGUAUUUGUAAUAAAAUAAUUUAAAGUUGUGAAUAAGUAAAUGUUAUUUAGUUCUGUAUGGAGAUUUAAAAUAGUAAUCCUUAUAGAUAAGGAUGAAAAUAUACAUUUAUACACUUAAAAGAGUAACCUUGAUAAAUGAGAAAUGUUUUACUAAUAGACAAAAAUGUCUCCAAUUGAUCUAGUUCCGACAGUGAUGAAAGUGAUAUUUGAGUAUUUGAUAGAGAAAGGGGAGUUGCCUAUAUGAGUAAAGAUUUAUAAGGUAUGAAAUGAAUGUUUGUAAUGAAUAUAUUGACGAUAAAAGUCAUGUUAUGUGUAUAUAUAUAAGUAUAUAUAUAAGAGUCAAAUUUUGAGGCUUUACGACCUUCACCCCCUCACCUGAACAAUGGAAUUUACAAGAAUUGUAUUCAUUAAGUUUACAAGUGUGAAAUUGAAGAGUUCAAUAAUUGAAGGAAUAAUAAUGUAGUCAGAAUUGUGGAUGGGAUAGCAAGUAAAGAGAGUUCUAGAAAGGAUAUUAGAUUUUUUUUUAAAUGAUUAUUGGGAUUUGCAAUGUCGCUAUUAAGGAAGAAGCUAUUCACGAGUAACCGACUUACUCAGGUAUAAAAUUUAAAGAGCAGGUUAAUCGGAAUUUCUUCUGAAUUGAUUUCUUUAAUGAUUGAGAUAAUGUGAGAUUAUUGAUGACUUUAGUAAUCAGUGGGAUUGUGUUGAAAAUUGCAAACAUAUCUGAAUGCAGUUGUUAUAGUCGAGUAUUUUACAAUGAUCUCUUCUGGGUAUUCUAUAUGGGUAUUCUAUAUGCUCUUUUAUCCUCAGAGGUAUAUGCAAUUAUUUAUUUUCAGAUAUGAUUCUUAUCAUAUAGCAAGGUUGGCUAAUCGUAUUGUUAGACGAAAUUAUUAUUAGUCUGGUUGAUUCAUGAUCGGGAUUCCUCUAUCUUUCUUUGGUUUUCUAAUCUAUUAUGUUCGAUGGAAGAUUUGAUGAUAAGACUCAUAUGAAGCUAUUUUCUAUUUCUACUGGUUGAAGCUCCGAAUUAUAUAUAUGGAAUUUAUAUUGUCUUUAUCACAACUAUUCCUAGUACGUACAAGUGAUAUUCUUCUUUUGGAUUUUCUCUGGGAUAUCAUCGAUCUCUUUAUCAUUCAAUGUGGUUUUUCUUCUCGGAAAUUUAGUAUAGCUUCACAUCUUGGAUUUUAUUAUCUCGGUUUUCUUAUUAUGGUCUAAUCUUAUCUAUUAACCAUGGUUUAUCCGUACAAGAUAUUCAUUGGCCGGAGGUAAUUAUAUUUAUUACUGUUAUAAAUCUUGGUUUGAUCAUGGGAACUCGGUGAUAUGGAUCUCAGAUUUUAGAAGUUGUAUUACUGCACUGGUUGUUAUUGGGACUACUUCGGUUUUCUUCAUCUAUUUUGGAGUGCACUAUUGAUGUUGAGGUAUUGUUCUAUCUAUAUAGUUGGAACGUCGGUCCUAGUAUAGCUCUAUAGUUUUUAAUCUAUUUGAUGGUUGUGGCUUCGGUAUAGUUCAAAGCUUCGAUGUUAAUGAUUGAAAUAGUUUUAUUAUAUAUAUAAUUCCUUUCUAGUUUUCGUGAAAGGGUUGACAUCGGCAAAAGUAUAGAUGGAGGAAGAUUGAGCUCAAACUUGUAUUUUGGUUUUCAUUUCUCAGGUAAUUCUGAAAUUAUGUCAACAAGUCAAUAAUGGAAUGUCAAAAUUCGUUUGAGUUAAAUGCUAUUUGUGGAAAUUUUCGAUUGGUGUUCUGAGAGGAUUAUGAUAUAUGGUAUAUCUGGAUUGUUUUGACAACAAGAAGAAUGGAUUAUUCUGAAAUGUUAUUAUCUGAUAGAUAAAAUCGACUCAGUUGUUUUAAUCAGAGUGGGUUAUUCAUUGAAAAGUUAAUUGAGUUAUAAUCAGUGAUGGAAUCAGUACAUCUUGGGUCUCCACAAUGGGUUUAAAUUAUCUGUUUUCUUAUCGCUGGAUGGGUUUCCAAGAUCUUCGUUCAAAGGUAUUAAAUAAGAUAAUUCGGGUUUCUCAGUUAUGUUUCGACAGACAAUUACUGGACAUUUCUUGGUAGUCAUACUACUAGUGAAAAAGUGAUGGCAAGAGAACAUCAGAGCUGCUCAGUUAAGUUCAGGCAUAGUAUCAAUUUCUAAAAUGAGUUUUGAUAUGAGUUUGGAAGUGAUAUGAGUUAUGAUUAAUUUUUAUGGACUUCGAUUGAAAGGGGUGAAGAAAGAUUUGACUUAAUAGCUUGUAUCAGGUGAGAAAUUUCGAGGACGAAAUUUUUUUAAGGGGGGAAGAGUAUAAAAUGUAACACCCCUUACCCGAGACCGUUUCCGGAGUCGAGCACGAGGCAUUACUUAGCUUAUCUUACCAAUUCGGAGCAUAAAAACUAGGUUUGAAAAUUUAUUUCAUUAUUCGCAGCAAAUCUGUCCAAUCGCGCAGCAGUUACUAAAUUAAUUAUAACUUGAGAUACAGAACUCGAAAUUUAAUUCCGUAAAUUUUUCCUGAAACUAGACUCAUAUAUCUACUCACCAUAAAAUUUUUAGAAUUUUUGGUUCAGCAAAUUAGUACAGUUUAUUAGUUAAAGUCUCCCCUGUUUCACCACCUGACUUCCCUGACCUCUAGUCACUAAAAAUAAGUUUUCUCACUGUAGGAUUUUCAUAUGAAGUUCUUACUUGAUUCUACAGAAAAUAGACUCAUUAAGAAAUCUAAGCAUGUAAAUUUCAACUCAUAACCAUUUUUGUACAAUUUGUAAUUAUUUUCUAAACUCAUAACAGGGGACUCCAAAAACAGUUCUGACCCUAUCUUACUAAAAUUCACAUAUCUUAAAAUAUAAAUUUCCUUUUUCUACACUGCUAUUUUUCCAUGAAAAUAGACUCAACAAGCUUUAAUUCCAUAUAUCAUUCACCCUCUAAUUCAUUUUAUACUAUCUUGGGUGAUUUUUCAAAUUCACGUCACUGUGCUGCCUGAAUUCUGUUUCUUUGCAAAAUUUUAUCCUUUCAUGAUUUCCAUGCAUAAUUUAUCACCUAAUCUUUCAUAACAACAAACACCUUCAUCCUUAAUCAUUUUAAUAACCAUACAUCAUCAAAUACUUACACAUCACUCAUUAGCAAAAUCAUCAUUACAAACAUAAAAAAUAACUAAAUCCCUAUACAUGCCAUAACUCAAACGUGUUUCGAUAUAAAAUACCGAGCAGUUGUAGUUGAUAGUGUGGACGAUCUCCGACUUCUUUAGGAUCCUUGAAGUAGCUUUGCAAUACUAUAAGAGAAAGAGAAAUAAAAGAAGUAAGCAUAAAGCUUAGUAAGUUUACUAGCAAAUAAAUAACAAUAUUUAACUUAAAUAAUUAAACUCAAUGUCUAUAUCUCUAGUUUACUCUUUAGUUAAUCUCAUACUAGUUCUCUUACUUGUUUACUUAGAAUACUUGUGUGCAUAACUUACUCAAUCCUUGCUGCAUCGUUGAACAUCAAUUGAUAGUAUAAUAAGUUCUUAAGUCUUACAACUUACCUGAGCUUGCCAUUUAUGCUUUAAACUGAAUUUUCAUGAACAUGAUUCGUUUACAAGCCCGUUGAGCUACAUUGGAAUAAUAAGGAUACUCGGGUCUCUUCUGAUAAUAACAUGCCAAAGCCAUGUCCCAGACAUGGUCUUACAUGGGAUGUUCUCGUGAUGGUGCCCAUGCCAUGUCCCAGACAUGGUCUUAUAGGGGACCUCUCAUCUCGGUGCCAACGCCAUGUCCCAGACAUGGUCUUACAUGGGACCUCUCGUCUCGGUGCCCAUGCCAUGUCCCAGACAUGGUCUUACAGGGGACCUCUCAUGAUCUUAAGGAUGCCAAUGCCAUGUCCCAGACAUGGUCUUACAUGGGAUCUCUUUACCCAAAUGUCAUGACAUUCGUAUCUAGUACCAUCCUUAUGUAUCAAUGGGACUUUUAAAUUUUAAUUCUCUAUCAUUUCAUGCUUGGAUCAUCAUCAAAUAAAUUCAUAAAAUAAAUUCAUAAUUGCUGGAAAUUAACAGCAUUAAUAAUAAUUAUUAAAAUAUUGCAUUUAUUUACCGUAAACUUACCUCGGUACCAAUUAUAGCCAAAUUCACCAACUUAGUCUUCAACUUUAUUCUUCCCUUUGUCUAACCUCGAGUUUCGUACUUCUUGAUCUAAAAUAGUAAAUUUAACUUAUUUAAUAAUCACAUUCAUCAAAACAGCCCUCGACUCUAACUUUUUCAAAAUUACAAUUUUGCCCCUAAACUUUUACAUAAUUACAUUUUUGCCCCAAGGCUCGGAAAUUAAACUUCAUCUCUUAUUCUUAUGUUUUAUAACAUUCUGAACAUUUUUCCCUUCUAUGGCAACAUCAAAUUCCCACUCUAACAUGUACUUAUGAACAUUAGGUAUUUUUACCGAUUAUGUCGUUUUACUCGUUUUCACUUAAAAUCGCUUAGCAAAAGUUGUUUAACAUAAUUUCUAGCUUCAUAUUCUAUCAUAAAACAUCAAAAUAAACACUUUUCACCUAUGGGUAUUUUUCCAAAUAUAAACCCUAGGUUAAAUUAUUGCUAGAAUAAGCUAAAUUAAGCUACCGGGAUCUCAAAAACGUAAAGAACAUUAAAAACGGGGCUUGGGAUCACUUACUAUGGAGCUUGGAAGCUUGAAAACCCUAACUAUGGCUUCCCCCCUUGCUGAUUUCGUUCAUAUGAAGAAGAUGAUGAUUUUUGCCAUCUUUUUCCCUUUUAAUUCAUUUUAAUUACUAGAUUACCAAAUUGCCCCUAACUUAAAAAUUUUCUAUUUCACUUAUCUCAUGUCCAUUUUUGUCUACCAAGUUACCAAUGGUAUAAUUAUCAUAUAAAGACCUCCAAUUUAAAGUUUCAUAACAAUUGGACACCUCUAACAUGUAGAACUCAACUUUUGCACUUUUUACAAUUUAGUCCUUUUGACUAAAUUGAGUGCCCAAACGUCGAAAUUUUCGAACGAAAUUUUCAAAAAAUCAUUUUGUGAAAUUGUAGACCAUAAAAAUAUAAAAAAAAUAAAAUUUUUCUCAUCGGAUUUGUGGUCCCGAAACCACUGUUCUGAUAACCUCAAAUUUGGGCCAUUACAAAUAAUCAAUUAAUCACACCUCCACUCACUAAUCCCUCAUAAGAGGAUUAGUUCUUCAUGGAUCUCAUGAACACAAUAAAAUUGAUUAUAAAGAUAAACAUAAAUAACAAUCAAAAGAAAGGUUUAAGAGAUUCCUGAAUUGUAUUGAUUGAAGCGCAAAAUCUACAAUAGUUUGAUCACGUUUACAACUCACGUUCUCUGAAGAACACAAAUAGAAAAGAACUGAAAUAAGCCUAAAGCCUAAAAGAAAGGAAAAACUUAAAACUAAAUUUACAAAGAAAGAUUUAGAAUAUAAAAAUUAUCCCCAAACAAGUGUUUUAAUAGCUUAUUUAUAGAGUUAGGGUUGUCGUCGUCCUCAACCUAGGUCAACUGACGUUCUCAUGUUUAAUUUCCAUUGCGCAGACCAAGAUGCCACUGUAAUAAGUGUUCCCUGUAGAAGGUUGGUGUCAGGACACCCUAGUGCUUGUGUCGCAACAUCGAAACCAAUAUGCAUGCUUCAGGGGUGUGUCGCAACAUCCCUUAGCUGUGUCGCGACACCAAAGGUAGUAUGGUAAUUCUUGCAUUCUGCUCCCUAUGUUGUGACAUUGAACUCCCGUGUUGCAACAUAGCGACCAGCCUUGAGUUCCUAUGCCUUUGAGUGGUCUCCUACACACUUAGUAUGUUAGCUCGCCUUCAAGCUUCAUUCAAACCCCUAAGGUCAAUAAAAGACUCAAAAUACACUUUUAUUGAAUUUAUAUUAAACUAAGAAAAUGUAACUAAAACAUAAUGAAAAUGCUUGGAUUCAAACUCCUUAAGUACGAAAACUAGUUUAAUGUGUUGCACCUUAUUACGAUAGAUCAGUAUAGUUGCCUGGCGUAUUUAGAAGAAUCAUAACCUUUUUAUCUUUCAAGGAAUAACGUGGAGUGUGAGGAGUUGGUAAAAGUUUCAUAUAGUUGGGUCAAACAAUAUACCUUAUACCAUAAAGCAAAUGUUCCUAAAUGGCAAGUGUCAAACUCAGUCCCACCUUUAUUCGAGAAUUGGAUUCAAUUGAACAUUGAUGAUGGCAUAGUAAAAGAGGGUUCCGGGGUUGCCAUGAUUGGGGGUUUUACGAGACAGAUACGAGAGUUGGAUCCUUGGCUAUAAUCGGUUUAUUGGAAUCUAUUCUAUCUUAGAUGCGAAAUUAUGGGACAUUUGGAAUGGUCUGAUGAUUGCAUUAGAUAUAUGAUUUGACAAUUUGAUAAUUUUUUCAAACGGUCAAGAGGCAACACAAGCUCUACAAAGUAAGUCUUCAAAGGGUUCGAAUUCCGCUUUGGUCAGAAGAAUCCGACUGUUAUUGGCUAAAAUGGUGCAUUGGUCGAUUCGUCAUGUUUUUAGAUAACUCAACAAAGAUGCUCAUGAUAGAGCGAAAAUGAUGGUUGGUUAUAACAGUGGCCUUCAAUUUUUUGAAACGCCUCCAAGGGGACUUGAGUAUAUAUCUAAAUAGUUCUUUGUAAUACUUUUUCUUUAAAAAAAAAAGGCUACAUUUGUUUGUGAAUUCUUUCUCCGAAAUCACACACGACUGCUUUAGCAUUACCCUUAAAAUUAUUAUUUUAGUAAUAAAAUUAAUUUUUACUUAAAUAUAAUUAUAAAAAUGUAUAAGCAUUGAUAUGAAUAUUAUUAAUUAUUGUUAGCUUUAACUUAUAAAGCUUUUUAUACAACUAACAUUUAAAAUAAAAUUUUUCUUAAGUAAUUUCAUGAAAAUAUUAUUAAAAAUCUCAUUGUAGAUUUUAAGAUUUUAAAAUAGUAAAAAAAAAACUUUAAUAGAGUCAAUUCAAAAUAAUUUCAAUAUGUUCCAACUUGUAAGCACUUUUCAAGGGUUAAAUAUGGAUACCUUACCUAAAGUGCCAAUAGAGGUCAGUAGACAACCAUUUCUGGAAGUGUAAAGUGUAAAAUAUAUAUUCUUCAGGUAUCAAUGCUGAACACAAAAUAUAUAUACUUGUCUUUACGGUAUCAAUAUUUUUUUGCUUCUAACGGUUAUUCAUUGGCACUCCAAAAAGCAUGAAAUUAAUACUCAAUCAUCACAAAAAAAAAAAGUUUAUUUCUUACCUUCUUUCUCUUGUGCAUAUUUUUGUGAAAGAUUUAUGUAAGCUUUAUUCAUCUUACUGAAAGCUAAACACCUACCAGUUUUUUGUUUAUACAAAUUUACCAUUUUGUAAGUUUGGUUCAAUCUUUACCAUUGCAAAAAAAAAAAUAAAGAUAAUGGUUUUUAUGUUAUAGUGAACUCAAAACUUGUUAAGAAUUGAGGUGAAGGUAAUGGAGAUCGAUGGUUAAAUCAUUAUAAAUUAUUUGUGUUAAUUUUUUUAAUUUGAAAUAAAUAAAAUUUUUAAUUAUCUAUUCAUAUUCUUUCGUUUUUCUUUUCCGAAAAAGGGAAUAAACUUUUAUUUAACAAUUACUUUAAGGUUGAAUACAUAACUAUCCCUUAGCAUCAUUUAAAAGUAGAUUUCAACAACAAGAUGGAUUAGAGCAAACAAGUGAUUUAAACAAUCAAGUGAUUUUUUUUCAAUUGUAUAAGUUGAGAAAUUUGAAUCGGUUGUUACCUACUGUCGGUAGGAAUAAUGUGGUAUAACGAGUGCCAAGGAAAGCAUGAACCAUGAGACAUAAGUUGGGUCUGGAAACAUACCGAUUGAAACCAGACGAAAUACAGUGUUCAAGAUGUUAGAAAACGAAACAAAUAUCAUUUCACAAACGUUGUCGGGACUGGUCAUUGACACUGUCUUUAGAUGGUGAUCUCACUUCUCUAUAGUCUUCAAGAUCUAGUGGGGGUCCACCCAACACUCUCACAUGCAAUUUUUUAUACCUUCAUCCCCCCGUUCUCUCCUGUCUUCAUUUUCAAUUUCUUUGGUCAAAUAAUAAAUUAAACCCCUCAAAAAAAAAAUCGUCCCAUUUUUUGAGUUAUAAUAUAUUUACAAAGCUAAAUUAUUGUAUGCAAAGUUUAAAAAAACAAAAUGCAAACACAAACCAUGACUGACACAGUGACAUCAGGCAUACAUGGACCCAAGGCCUUUAAAAAAAACAGAAGCAGGCUUUGAAUCAUCAUAACAAUGACUAUAUUAUCGUGUUGAAGUGACCAAUAUAUAUACAUAUGCAGGCGAUAGCAGCCCAGGGACGACGUCGAUAAAUAUGUAAAAAGAGAAAAGAAAAG
rnacentral:lncRNA from 1 species